rnacentral:lncRNA from 1 species
UUCUUGGUCACUGGUAUAACCAAGAAUGCAAUUAGCCAAAAUUUGAGAGAUGGUUGUUAUAAGUUUCACCUUCCUCUCCAUCCCUUUCUGAUUCCAAGUUGUCUAGGCUUGCAGAUUCCCUUAGUGAUCUCUAUUAGGUGGGUACUUCAUCCACAACCUCCACUGCUGGGAUUUUCACAGUUUUUGCUCAGGGAAUACUGUGGAUGUUCGAUGACCCAGAAGGCCUGCUGCAGUAAGUGCAUUUCUUUGUCUGUGAGGUUGAGAUCAAGAAAAAAUAAGGCCUAGAAAGUUUAAAAACAACGAGCAAAUGGCUUUAUGUUGGAAGCACAUAGUGUUAUUUGAGUAAGGCAAUGAAAAAUGAAGAAGUGAAAAGCUAUGGACAGGAUCAGGAAAGACUUUUUCUACUUGGCUUGAACAAUUGCUGCAGAUAUUAUUUACUAUUAGCACAUGGUUCGAUUAAUACCAUGCUUUUGCCUAGUUUUCUUUGUCUUUGGUAAGAUUAAGAAUCCAAUUAGAUCAACGAGUUCUAAAUACACACAGCUGUCUAUUUGCUAAGUACCUAUAUGGACACUAUACUCUCUACACAGGCAAAGUUGUGUGUGAUUAUUAACUGAGAUUUCUGCUACUGUUUUUGUCCCAUUGAAAACUAUCCAUGUGUUUUUUGAUAAUUCAUAUUCUCUCAUGAGUAAACCAUUCUUGGAAUGUAUAAGCUUGUCUCCCAUUUUGACAUGAAUGCACUUGGGUGGAUUGCCAGAAGACAAAAACUUGUAUUGGGCAUUUACAAUUUUGCAUAAAUGAGAUUGUUCUUCUUCCCCAUCCUCUCCCUCCUCUGUUCUUCACUCUAAUCUCUCUUUAGGCUUAUUCUUUCUUCUUUCUUUGUGUAGUGCUCCCAGAAUAGAAAAAGCACUAAGGCCCUCAAUCUUUUUGCAAGUAUUUAUCACUCUGGACAAAAGCACCUUGAAUGCAUAGGCUAUUUGCUUUUAGCCAAAUGAAAAAUAUGACAUUUUUUUUUUCCCCUAAGAGAUUGUGUGUUCCAUUAGAAGAUUUCGAGCUAGGUAACAAUUGAUGGCUUCCAACUCUGACUCUCUCAACAGUAAACUUGAGAGAGCUGAUUAUUGGUUCUGCCUCUGUUUUCUCUUCAAUGAAAUGAAGAUACUCCAAGUCCUGUGUAAAAUAGUUAUCUUUCAGCUGCAGUGAGUCGGCUCUGUGCUUAUCUGCAGGAAUGCCUGAAGUCUGGUACUGACAUUUGAUAAGAACAAAGAUGUGUUAGUUAUUGAUAAAGUGCAGUUUACAGUUUGAAACUCCACUACUGAUGCCCAGUACCAAAUUACCUACAUUGUUUGGAAAUGAUUGAUGGUUUAUACUUGAUUCAACCUAUAGAGCCUGGCCUUAGCUAUGUAACCAGUAGGAUGUAAAAACAAAUAAACAAACAAAAAAUGAAAAAAGCUUUUUUUUUGAAUGAGCAACCCUGAACAAGAUGCCUUAUACAUGUGUUUAUUGUUGGUUUAUAAGCUAAAGACCAAGAACAUCUGCAAUUGAGAAACGUACAUAGACCGCCCCUGGAACCGUUAAACCCUCUGUGAUGGUAUUUUCUCACUUUUUCCUGCUGUUCUGUGCUCUUUACUUUUAUUAAAGCUUUUAGUUAGUACUUCCUAUGGAGGCUUAUGAGUCCUUUCAAUUAUCAGGCCCUUUGUAACAGGUAUGUUUGAACUUUUUUCAGGUACAGUUGAGGUGUCAAUUUAGAUAAUAUAUUAUUUUUCAUCUUCCUUGUACUAAGUCUGACUAGAGUAAACAAACGCAUUUGCAAAAAUGGAACACAGGGAAUAGUGAGAAAGGAUUUGUUCCUAUCUCAAAAGCUUUUCAGCAUGUAAGUCAUUUUAGAGAAAUGUCAGAUUACAAAAUAUGCAGGUGUAUAAUUUCUCAAGGAAUUUUGCGGGGAGGUCACUGGGAAGUGAUGUUUGACAUCUGUUUUGACUCAGCAUAGUGGAUUUUUUUGGCCGUGAGAAUUUGGGUAUCUUGAUACUUACUUAGCAUCAUAUUGUUACCUUUCCUAAAAAUCUAUAGAUAAGCCCUUAGGAAAUGAAUUAGCCAGUAGCUGUUCCAAGUUUCUAGAUGUCAAUAUCACAUUUUAGACAUAGUGAGUUGCAGAGUCUGUAAGUGUCUACUUGGCAUUGCUUCACUAAAAAUUUAACAAUCAAUUUAAGGAAAAAUACCACUUAAAGCAAGCCUACUUCAUGUAUGAUUAUUUUAUAAUCAUUGUCAUUAAAGCAUUUUAAAAUAAUGCUUUAUUUUAUAUUUUAUUCUUCAUGGUGUCCAAAAGAAGUAUUGUCUGAUGUACCUACCACAUUUUAAUAAAAGCCAUAAUAAUCCCUGAAGGAAGCAUGUUAGCCUCUGAGAACCUCAAAACUAUAGGAUGAAUAUUAAAAGAUGCUUUUUGUACUUAUGAUUACCCUGAAUAAAAGGGAACAUUAUGACUUUCAUGCCAAUUGUAAAAAAUAAUUUAUAUACAUAUGCGUGUGUAUGAAAUAUAUUAUCCUAAUCGUAUACACAAACACAAAUUAGUUUUUAAAUGCCAUAUUUUCAAACUGGACAACAAAUCGAGAGAUACUAUGUGAUACUUUAGACUCUUCUAUAUGUUUUUUACUACAAUCAUGAAUUUCUUUUAAAAAACCUGUAUUAUAUCCACAUUAAAACUGAAAUAUUGGAGUUCCCGUUGUGGUGCAGUGGUUGACGAAUCCGACGAGGAACCAUGAGGUUGCGGGUUCGAUCCCUGGCCUUGCUCAGUGGGUUAACCAUCCGGCAUUGCUGUGAGCUGUGGUGUAGGUCACAGAUGAGGCUCGGAUCCCCCAUUGCUGUGGCUCUGGUGUAGGCUGGCAGCUACAGCUCCGAUUAGACCCCUAGCCUGGGAACCCCCAUAUGCCGUGGGAGCAGCCCAAGAAAUG